rnacentral:lncRNA from 1 species
CACGGACACACACAUGCAGAAAGACACACGGCUACACGGACCCCUCUAUUGGCUGAGUGGGACUGGCGCAGGUCAUCAUCUGAAGGUACCCAGGAAAGGCCAUCGGGGGCCCUGGGUGUGGAAGGAUGUGCUCUCUCCGUUUUCCUGGCUCCUGUCUCUGCCCCUCCAGUAUGAUGAAGUGGAGAGGUGAACGCCCCUGAGCAAGCCACACAGCUUCUGAGAACCUCUGCUCCCUCACCUUUCCAGGAUCUCAGGUGCCUGUGGGACACUCCCUUCAGAGCCCCCAAAACAGGGCCUAACUCACUAUUUUAAAUUAUAUUGUGCCCCCCCCACCACCACCCGUGUGUGUAUGUCUGUGUGUGUGUGUGUGUUUACAACUUGUGGGAGUCAGUUCUCUCCUACCAUUAUAUCAUGUGGAUCCUGGGGGAAACCAUCAGCCUUGAGAGCAGACAUCUGAACCAUCUCACCAGCCCCUCGCUGUUUUUAUUGCUUUACCAAACUCAAACUCUUGCUAAAUAAGCUAUGGGUGUCUAGUCCUACAAGACCCCAUGAGGGCAAAGACUUUCUUAAGAACUCAUUCCUAGUCAGUAGGCAGAGGCAGGCAGAUCUCUGAGUUCAAGGCCCAGGACGGCUAGAACUGUAGUCUGGCUGGCAGGAAACCUAGGCUUCAAAACAACAAAAGCAAAAAAGAACUUGCUACUAGGGAGCUUGCCUCGCCUGGUUGUGUACACACAGGAAAUCUUGGGUUCAGUCCUCAGCACAGUUGGUGUAUGCUUAUAAUCCCAGCUCUGAGGAAGUGGAGGCCGGAAGAUCAUGAGUUCAAUAUCCUCCUCAGCUGCUGACUGGCACCCAAUAUUGGUUUCCUGAAACUUUUAUCUGGAAGAUAAGCACAGAGAUUUAGCUUCACAAAAUCAAUAGUUAUCAUGUGUAUACUUAUAAAUUGCCUUAAUGUUCAACUAUUGUCAGUUGUUAGUGUGAUAAGACAAAUAGAAUAUUAUGCAACCUUUAAGAGGAAGCAGGUGGUUGUUAUUGAUGUGGAAAGAUGUUAAUUACUAAAGAAAAACAAGAUACUGUCUUAGUUAAGGUUUCAUUUCACUCUUACAAGGAAAACAUUUAAUUGGGGCUGGCUUACAGAUUCAGGAGUUUAGACCAUUAUCAUCAAAGCAAGACACAUAUAUGGUGGUGUACAGACAGACACGGUACUGGAGAAGGAGCUGAGAACUCCUCCUUGAUCUGCAGGUAGCAGGUACCACUACACUGGGCAUGGCUUGAGCAUAGGAGACCUCAAAGCCUACCUCCACAGUGACACACUUUCCCAACAAGGCCACACCUACUCCAACAAGGCCAUACUUCCUAAUAGUGGCACUCCCUAUGGGCCAAGCAUUCAAACACGAGUCUAUGGUGGCUAUAUCUGUAAAUGGAUUUUUAUUAAACUCUAUGAGUUAGUGAUAUGACUCAGUCAAACCUCCCCUCUCCCAAUAACUAAGGCAGAAUCCUAUGGAUUUUUUAACCAGCUCUUGCACAAUUACUGGGGGAUUACCCCUAAUCUCUAUUUCUAUUAACUAGACUGUUAAUUCCCAGCUGUGCUCCCCAAAUAUUUGCUGUUUGAACCUUGCCUGGGUUACUUCUGUUGCAGCAAACUGUCCUGGGGGUGGGGUGGGGGACAUUUCACUUAGGCACAUGCUCCUGGGCCAUCAUGUCUAACGGAGACCUUCUGUCUUCUCUGUCUUCCUUCCCCUAUUCCUCUUUCUUUUUCAUGGUCUCUACCUGCGACCCACAGCCAGGUAACUGAAAAUCAGCCUACCUCUGUUGUCCCCAGUAAUUGGCUGUAGCCACCUUUAUUUAGCCAAUAGUUUAAAAUUGGGGAGCAAGGUUUACAUAGCAUCACUUGGUGUAUGUGAGGAUCUGCUGGUGGGGGUGGCAGCUACCAGAUCUUGGGGGGGGGGAGUAUUUAGCAUUUGAAUAUGAAGCAGCACCAGCUAACACAUACCAAGUCAAACUACCACAAAGACUAUUUACAUAUCAAAAAUAUGUACUUGUAUAUUUAAAAAUCUGUAAGUUAUUGCAUCCAGAAGUCAACAAUCGAUAAUCUUGAAUAUGGUUUUCAGUGACUUCCCGUUCCAGAUUUUCCUCUUCCAAGUUCUCCUCCCUGUACUUUGCUUUCAUGAAUGAUAAAGGUGAUGGAGAGGUGUGUGUAUGUGUGUGUGUGGGGGGGUGCAGCUAUUAAUUAAAAAUUUUCUUCCUUCAGCUUUUAAAUUACUGAAUAAAAAUGAAGACAUGGCCACUCCUAGGUGUAAUUAAGAAGGUUUAAUUGUAGAUAUGAGGGAAAGAACAGCCAGAGGCAUCUGGAAGAGUCCAGACUAAACGUGGUCAGCAGAGUACACCCGGUCAAGGGAGGUGGGGGGAGUGAAAGAGAAAGUGAAAAGGCGGAGGUGGCUAUAGACUAAUAAACCAAGAGGGCUAGGAACCAAAAUGGCAGGAUUUUAUAGCGAUGUAAGCUGGGGGACGGGAAGCGCCCCCCCCCCCCCCCCCCCCCCCCCCCCCCCCCCGCAUCUGGGCAGCAGAGGUUUAGGGGAGGGGAGGGGCAAGGAACACUGGGAGGAGCCACAGGUUUCUACUGGCUAGCAUCUGCUUUGAUAAGUUAAUAGUACCUUGGUUUGCCUCUGGUCCUGGGUUUCUUUGGGACCUAGCAUGUAUUUGUUAUUAAAAUGAUGAAGGUGGGGGAUGGGUAGUCAGGCAGUGGUGGCACACACCUUCAUCUGAGGACAGUCUGGUCUAUUGAGUGAGCCAGGGCUAUUAGAGAAAGCCUGUCCCAAGACACAAAAAACGAACCUAAACAAACAAAACAAAAAAACGAAGGAAGGGGCUGGCUCUUUGUUCCAGAGGACCCAGGUUCAAUUCCCAGCACCCACAAGGCAGCUUACAACUGUCUUUAACUCCAGGAUCUGGCACCCUUGCACAGACAUACAUGCAGGCAACAAAACUAUACAAGGGAGAGAAUUUUAAUAGCAUAAAUUUCCUAUUAUGUAAUUAGUUGUGCCUGUUGAUAGGACUGUGAUAUUUUGAUACCUAUGAACUUUGUAUAAUGAUCACACAAAGUAAUUGGUAGGCCACCUCGUACAUUUAUCAUUUCCUGAUCAGCUGUAAUCAAUCACAAACAUGGGUUUUUAGUUCAGUGUUCAGUAUUGCUGAUCUCAGAAUACUACACUGUGUAAGAAGACUUAGUGAUAGCCGGGCAGUGGUGGCGCACGCCUUUAAUCCCAGCACUUGUGAGGCAGAGGCAGGCGGAUUUCUGAGUUCAAGGCCAGCCUGGUCUACAGAGUGAGUUCCAGGACAGCCAGGGCUACACAGAGAAACCCUGUCUCGGAGAAGGA